rnacentral:rRNA from 1 species
GGACCCGCACAAGCGGUGGAGCAUGUGGUUUAAUUCGAUGCAACGCGAAAAACCUUACCUACUCUUGACAUACUUGGGAGCUCUUGUAAUGAGAGUGUGCCUUUUGGAACCAAGAUACAGGUGCUGCAUGGCUGUCGUCAGCUCGUGUCGUGAGAUGUUCCGUUAAGUCGGAUAACGAGCGCAACCCUUACCCUUAUUUGCCAGCGAUUCGGUCGGGAACUAUAAGGGGACUGCCGGUGAUAAACCGGAGGAAGGUGAGGACGACGUCAAGUCAUCAUGGCCCUUACGAGUAGGGCUACACACGUGCUACAAUGGGGAAUACAGACGGACGCUAAGCCGCGAGGUGGAGCA